CAGCCGCCGCGGUAAUACCGGCGGCCCGAGUGGCGGUCACUAUUAUUGGGCUUAAAGCGUCCGUAGCCGGGUUGGGAAGUCCUCCGGGAAAUCUGGCCGCUUAACGGUCAGAAUGCCGGAGGAUACUCCCAGCCUAGGGAGCGGGAGAGGCCGAGGGGAUUCCCGGAGUAGGGGGGAAAUCCUAUAAUCCCGGGAGGACCACCUGUGGCGAAGGCGCUCGGCUGGAACGCGGCCGACGGUGAGGGACGAAGGCCAGGGGAGCAAACCGGAUUAGAUACCCGGGUAGUCCUGGCUGUAAACGAUGCGGACUUUGUGUCGGACAAGCUAUGAGCUUGUCCGGUGCCGGAGGGAAACCGUUAAGUCCGCCGCCUGGGGAGUACGGCCGCAAGGCUGAAACUUAAAGGAAUUGGCGGG
rnacentral:rRNA from 1 species